UUUUUAUUUUGUGUGCGGCGUGCAUGGUGGCGGCCGUACCUGAACAUGGACAUCGAUAGAGGAGAGAGAUUGAACAUCGACAGUUUAAGAUAGGAGGCCCCAUGGCUCCUCCGCCGCCUCCUCCUAUGAUUAAUUACAGAAGGCUUCAAACAUAUUACCGGGCCGGCGACACCCGGCGACCUCCGCGCCCAAAACGGCGACCAAAUUAUCAUGAGCGACCGAAAUGGCGACCAAUGCGCCGGCGACCAACCGUGCCAGAACCGUUUAUGUUUUAUAUCCCUACCCGUUACUAAUUUCAGCUUAUAAUCUGGAGUUGUGCUAUUUUUAUUAAUAAAUCUAGAUACUC
rnacentral:lncRNA from 1 species